GCGAGGAUGGCGGAAUUGGUAGACGCGCUAGACUUAGGAUCUAGUAUCGAAAGAUGUGAGGGUUCAAGUCCCUUUCCUCGCACCA
rnacentral:tRNA from 3 species